CCAUGUUUAAAUUGUAUCAGCUCGUGUGAAUGUGCGAAAAAAGUCUUUUCGGCUUCUAUUUUAAAUUAUUAUAUUCCUUCAUUGUGAAAUUUAAUAGUGUAAUUAGUGAUAUUAGUGAAAAAACUAUUUUUAUUGAAAAAGUCAUCCACCAUUGAUGGUCGUGGCCGCUUGUUGGCCCUCUUCAUGGACGGACAGAAUCUGAACGACUGUCGUGUCGUCGUGCGCUUUUAGCAUCUAUAGAUGGCUAUAGCCCGGGUCGGGUUGCUUCCGGAAGUGUUCUUGCCGUUGCCAUUUUUUGCUGGUCCGUACCCUGCCUGCUUUCGUAUUCUACAAACCCGAGGUUCUAGAAGGCCGAUCACAGAAUAGUUCGCCGCAAGAUGCAGGGAGGAAAAAACGCUCUGAAGUGUUCGACGGCAUCGUGUUGUGCCAGGACGAGUUGGUCUCUUUUUGAAGAAAACAUCUGCAUGUUCCGAUUCGACCAAGACUUGUGUCCGGUAACUUUGAAACGGCCUACAAAAAUUGAGACGGUCUCGGUGAAGUAACAUAAAAUUAUUCUGAUCGAAUGGAGUUUCAUGCGAAAGGAAUCAUUUCGUGACCACUGCAGAAAAUAAUCCGGCAAUCGCAGUUUGAUGGUAAACAUUCCUAACGAAACUUAUAUUGAUUCUGGCUGGAUUCCAAUUCGUGAUGUUCAGAAUUUUCCAGGAUAUGAAAUGGAUAUCAGCGGUUUCAAAGUUCCUCCGAAUGCUGAAGCAUUCCGUAACGCUCUGUUUAACAUCACUCCAGUGAAGGUAAUCCGGAGGCGAACCCUGCAGGAAAAUUGCCCAAUAUCAACUCGUCCAAUCUGCGGAAAGUUCUGCCGUAGACUACGGACCACAAGGAUAAUCCAACACCCGACGAUGCCGACGAUGACAAAAACGUAGAUAAAUCAGUUGACCGGUUCAAGGUGUGUCGCCAUUGCAUGAGACCCGACCCCUGAAGGCGACGGGAAACAGGACAGGACCUUCAUGACAGAUCAGAAUAUAAUGAGCAAAAAAUUAUGAUAUUUAUUAUGCCGACAUGAUGUAUUAAAUAUACAAAUUCUUUUAAAAAACUAGGCUAAAAACUUAUUCAAUUAUGAAAACAAGAAACAACUCAAUCAAACAAAUGUCAUGUACAUCGCACUAUUUUACGU